rnacentral:rRNA from 1 species
AUUGAACGCUGGCGGCAUGCCUUACACAUGCAAGUCGAACGGCAGCACGGGAGCAAUCCUGGUGGCGAGUGGCGAACGGGUGAGUAAUGUAUCGGAACGUGCCCAGUCGUGGGGGAUAACGUAGCGAAAGCUACGCUAAUACCGCAUACGACCUGUGGAUGAAAGCGGGGGACCGGCAGGCCUCGCGCGGCUGCAGCGGCAGAUAUCAGAUUAGGUAGUUGGUGGGGUAAAGGCCUACCAAUCCGACGAUCUGUAGCUGGUCUGAGAGGACGACCAGCCACACUGGGACUGAGACACGGCCCAGACUCCUACGGGAGGCAGCAGUGGGGAAUUUUGGACAAUGGGCGCAAGCCUGAUCCAGCAAUGCCGCGUGCAGGAUGAAGGCCUUCGGGUUGUAAACUGCUUUUGUACGGAGCGAAAAGGCUCUCUCUAAUACAGGGGGCUCAUGACGGUACCGUAAGAAUAAGCACCGGCUAACUACGUGCCAGCAGCCGCGGUAA